UACCCGCAGCACAAGUGGUGGUCAUUAUUAUUGGGCCUAAAGCGUCCGUAGCUGGCGUGUUAGAUGCCUGGGUAAAUCGAUGCGCUCAACGCAUCGAAUUCCGGGUAGACCGGCACGCUCGAGACCGGGAGAGGUGUAGGGUACGUCGGGGGGGUAGGGGUAAAAUCCUGUAAUCCUCCGGGGACGACCAGUGGCGAAGGCGCUACACUAGAACGGCUCUGACAGUGAGGGACGAAGCCCUGGGGCGCAAACCGG
rnacentral:rRNA from 1 species